rnacentral:tRNA from 1 species
GGGGGAUAGUUUAACUGGAAAAACACUACACUGAUAACGUGAAAAUGAAGGUUCGAACCCUUCUCCCCCACAA